CUGGCGAACGCUCCGCCCACUCGCCGAAUCAUCCGUUAAUUGACAGUUGAGAGCCGCUCGAUGAUUGGCUACAUCCUUGCAACGGUGUUUCUACAGCCAGGCGGUCAGUCAAACCCCACCCCUCCCUCCAUCUGCACCCCUCAACGCAGCACCUGGAUUACCUACUGGGAGAGCACCGAGAGCCCUUUAUAUCCAGCAUCAUCAAAAGGCUAAUUUCUCACAUAUUUGCAUAUCCUUUGGAGCCAUUUCAUAUUGUAAUAGUACGUCAGUAGCAAAAAACAUGAACAGUUAAUACCCAUCACAUCGGUAUCAUUCGUUCCUAUAUGGACCGAACCGACCCGUUUCCCUACAUGUGAAGUUCUGUUUUUAUGCGAGAUCUGCUGGGCGUUGACAAGACAUCAAGCUGGUCCACCUGGUUUCAACACGAGCCUUCAGCUGCAGGUGCAUUUCUACUAUUGAAACCUAAGAUCUAGACAUAAACAGGAAAGCAGCAAACAUUCAAGCUGCAAUAAGCAGGAUUUUUACCUGAUAAGUGGCAUUUAGUUAUUUUCAGCAAUUUUUUUCACCCCUAAUCGCGUCCAUUAUGAAUGCGUAACUAAUGCUUUUCAUCACCUUAAACAUUGCAGACAUCAGAAGUGGAGGGAACAGAUGGAUGGAUGGGGGAGUUACUCGAUGCGACGAAGAUAAAACAAGCGAGAGCAGACGCCCCCUCCCCUCUCCUCUCCUCCAAUUUUGUGCUGCAGUUUCCUAGCAACAUGAGGCUGGAGUGGAAAUGGUGAAGUGAUGCUGCUGCAUUUUAUGAAUGAAACUGGAAAAAAGAGCGAGUCAGAGCGGGGAGGGGAGAAGACAGGGCCGUUUUUUUUCUUGUUUUUUUUUUCUUCCUCCACUGCUGUUGCUGUGCUUUCUAUUCUCCACGAGUCGAAGCAGAAAGGAGCUGGAAGGCGCAGGGAUAAUCAGAAAAAAAUCCAACAACUUUAUUUAACCUCGCAGUUGAUAAAAAUAAUUAAAAAACAAAACAUGGAGGUAUAUAAUAUAUAGUUAUGCAGUACAAAAUUAAACAACCCCCUCUGCAGAAGGCAAAACAAGCACUAAGUAACAUUAUUUACAAAGAGCCUUUUGAAACCGCAGAACUCGACAUUAACAUGGGAUCCGUUUCUCCUAUAAACCUCAAGUUCAGUGAAUUUUAAACAAAUGGUGGACAAAGUGGGGUUUGCUCAAAUGUGUGGGUUCACCAUUGUAUGUCAAAACUAACAACGGGGUUGUGCCACCUCUCAGGAGGAGACUGAAUUUUUUUUUUGUCUCAUGAGAAGCACCAGAUGAGAUUAUGUUUUUGCAUAAUGAAGAGCCUGAACUGUAUAAAGCUUGUGUUAUAUGUGCAGUGAUGUCCAAUGCUCAAAAGGACAAAGAAAAAAAAAAAAAA